CACACAUCUUUCUUUUCUUCUUUUUUCUCCUCCUUCUCUUUAUUCUUCUCCUUCUCCGCCUAUCUUUUGCUUUAGGUUGAGAAACGUAUUGAUCCACUCUGAGUAUACAGAAUCAAUUGCUGAUAUACUCUUGAUCCAAAAAUUAUAUUCUAAUAUACUCUUCUCUUUUAAUUCUUUUCUUUUUUAUUUAUUUUUAAUUUGAAAAAUAAGUAAAAGUUUAAUUGACCUAUGAAUUCACCUAUUUACAGAAUAUACCAUUUAACCUAACUCAAUUUCCUUCUCUUUUUUUUUAUUCAACUUCCUUCUCCUAAAUUCUAGAUCCAUAUUUCUUCUUCUCAUUCUCUUUUAUCUUCUUCAAUUCUACUCUCUCUCUCUCUCUCUCUCUCUCUCUCUCUCUCUCUCUCUCUCUCUCUCUCUCUCUCUCUCUCUCUCUCUCUCUCUCUCUCUCUCUCUCUCCCCUGGCCGGCUACGAGUCUUUAUCAUAGACACCAUCGUCCACCGCAGUUGUCGUCCACCAGAGCCUUAGCCGUCGUCUUUUCAAGUACAGUAUGUUGUUUGUAACUGGAUCCGAUCUCAGCCAUAAGAUCCGAGUUUGUGGCCGCCUCUUCUUCUUUUUCUAGACCCAGUAUUGUCAGGUCAAGCUAAAGUGAGGACCCGGCUGUGAACCUUUUUCAAGUUAUAUAAUUUUUCGGGCGUUAGUACUUUGUUAAUAUUAUCUAGAUUUAUAUCUUAUUUGUUUUGGUGUGAUGAAAGUACGAUGAUAGUUGAUUGUGAUGAAUGAACCUAGUAAAUGAUAGGUUGUUAAAGGAUAAACCGGUUGUGUGUUGAAAAUGAAUGAGAUGUGUGAUAAGAAUGAAAGUGAUGUGAAGGAGAUGAUGAGAUGUGUGAUAAGAAUGAAAGUGAUGUGAUAAAAGUGAACGAGAUAAUGAGAUGUGUGACCUACGGUAAGGAGGGGUUAGGUUAGCGACUCUGGGUAAGAUUAAGUCAUGUCGAGUUUGGAAUAAGUGAAUAUGGUGAACGUGGAUAGACGGGCAAGGGGAGCCUAUGAGAUGUAGGCGAGAUAUUCACAUAGGAGCUUCAUGAUCGUAGCCCGGUUUGGGUGCCCACGCAGGAAUGCCGCGAUGGAGGUCGAGCCUUUGUGAGAGUGCGAUAGGUCAUAGAGGUCUAGGUUGAUUUUUGUUUGUCGCAUUCUAAUCUCUAUUAGCUUGUGACUUGUGUUUUUUGUGUUUUUUUUGUGUUAUGAGUUUUGAAAUGAGUUUGUGGGUUCCUAGAACCCAGCCUCACUGAGUAAUCCAAUAUUUACCUUUCCUUUUGCAGGUACUUACGAGGGAGUGCAUGAGUAGGAGUUGGAAGGUGCCAUCUAUUUGGGUUUCGUUUUAAAGAGCUAUUACUUAUGAUUUCAAAGACCUAUUCCAUGUUUUUCGGUUUUCGUUGAUUUAAGUUAUUGCAAGAAAAUUCAUUUUUGGAAUAAAGGUUGUGUUGGGUUGAAAA